GAGACUUCCCGGAAACCUGAAGCCUAGCUCCAUUUGUCCCUAAGGGGAGACAGGAUUAAGAUCCUAUCCAGCCUCAGCCCCAUAGGGCAAGGAGAAAAUCUGUGGGCCCUGAAGCCGAAGGCAAGGCUCUGUCUUCCAGCAGCUUUCCACCCACCAAUAAACCCCCACGGGGUCCACCAGGAGCUGGCAGUGCACUUGGAGACCGGACAUAUGGUGACAAGAGCAAGGGUUUUCUCUCUUCCCAACAUCCUCCCAUCGCUCAGCCCAGUUCCCUGGGGUUCAAAGGGCUCAUGCCGCCAUUGGCACCUCCCCUGUUAGAAGGGAGACAGGAGGAGGUUCAGGGAAUACCCUAGAGGACAUCAAAAAGGACAGAGCUGGGCCAGGGCCAAUCCUCAACUGUUCAGGUCCCUGUAUUUUAGCCUGACCCUGACUCCUGACCCAUGUGUACUCUUGGUAUCAGAGGGUGACUCAAAUGGCUUUUGAGGCCACUCUGGGAUCUGCAUCCUGCAUCCCUCAUCAGGAUAACAUCCUACCCAAAUAGAUUGCCAGCUUUUUUCCUGAGUAGCCGGGGACCAUUUCAAAACAAAGAGAGGUAUUUUGUAUAAUGAAAAAAACACUGAGCAGAGUGGAGAGGAAGAGAGGUUGAACAUACAAGGAGGCCUUGCUGCCCAGGACAAAGACUCUGAGCCGGAAGAUGGAGCCAGAGCACAGGAACCCUUCGGAGUAGGACCUCUCUGCAGAAGGAGGGGAAGAAGGAGUCCAGCAGGCUCUGCAAGGUGGGUCCCAGGGGCUAGGAGGAGCAUACCAAGGGAUAGCAUGGUAAAUAUAGAGUUUGAGACAAAACUCAAUUUUCUGCUUUUGCCGAUGGGUGGGGUCUGUGUAAGUUGCAAGCUACCACAGCCAAGAAACCCCAUUUUAGCCUUAGCAGCUAAUCACAGCAAGGGAUGCCUGCUGGCCUCAUCUCCAAGGGUCUCAGCAGGCAAAGCCAGAUUCUCCACUACCAUGGAAGAGGAUGCUCCAGCUCUUAAUGGCAGACCCAGGAAGCUCACCACCAAUUUCUUUCUGUGUUCUUAUCUUGCAAAUUUGAAGAAUGAAUCCAAUCCGUGGGCAACAACAGAAGUCAAGAGUGAAAGAAAUAGGAUUCAUUUAAAUAGAAGAAACAGAUCUCUGGCAAGGUGACAGGGGGCCUGAAAGCAGUUUUUCCACUUAGAUAUAUUAGCCCAGGGGUUUAUAUGGCAAUUUGGGGGGUCAAAAUAAACACUCAGAGACUAAUCAGCUCUGUGGAUAGGGUAAGAAUUUUACUUCCAUGGGCAGAAGGGGUGCAUAGCCACCAAAGCCAAAAGCAGUCGCACUGAGCAAGCAAUCUGUUCAGCAUUUAUUGCUGACACAGGCACUGGGUUGUUGCCCACUGCUGGAGCUGACCUCACAAUCUUUGGCAUGAAUAGCUUUUGAGGAAAGAGGGUACUUAAUCAUUACCCUCUUACCAAUUUAAAAAACAAGCCAAUCUGUCUUUUCUGUCAACCCUACAGUGGUAGGGCCCACUGUACUAUUUCCUAUUGGAUUAUUUAAAGAAAUACCUUUUAGUUGUCCCCACCUCCCUUUGUUCCCUUGUGGUGGGAAAUUUCCCCUGGGGUGAGUGCCUCUGGGCAUGUGCACAGGUACUGGGGAAGUGAAGAGGGAGGGGAGUGAAGAUGUUUUAUAGACAGUUAUUGUAAGAAGAUGGCCUUCAGGAAGCAAGGGGAUUUAGAACAGAGCUUCUCUGGGUUGACAGAAAAGACAGAUUGGCUUGUUUUUUAAAUUAGUAGGAGCACUUAUUUAAAAAAAAACAAAGUAUGCUGCACUAGUAUUGGGAAAAUAUGAGUUCUCUUGGUUGCUCUUGAGUCUCAGGUCUGUCCUGCCUCCCUAUUUCCAUCAUCCUGCAACAAAUGAGUUGGCUGGAAUGUUUAGAGUGUUUCUACAGGUCAACCUCAUAGACUUUACAUUAAAAAAAAAAAAAAAAA